rnacentral:rRNA from 1 species
UCUUGGUCMAAUUAGAGGAAGUAAAAGUCGUAACAAGGUCUCCGUUGGUGAACCAGCGGAGGGAUCAUUACUGAGUUACCGCUCUAUAACCCUUUGUGAACAUACCUAACCGUUGCUUCGGCGGGCAGGGGAAGCCUCUCGCGGGCCUCCCCUCCCGGCGCCGGCCCCCACCACGGGGACGGGGCGCCCGCCGGAGGAAACCAAACUCUAUUUACACGACGUCUCUUCUGAGUGGCACAAGCAAAUAAUUAAAACUUUUAACAACGGAUCUCUUGGUUCUGGCAUCGAUGAAGAACGCAGCGAAAUGCGAUAAGUAAUGUGAAUUGCAGAAUUCAGUGAAUCAUCGAAUCUUUGAACGCACAUUGCGCUCGCCAGCAUUCUGGCGAGCAUGCCUGUUCGAGCGUCAUUUCAACCCUCAAGCACCGCUUGGUUUUGGGGCCCCACGGCACACGUGGGCCCUUAAAGGUAGUGGCGGACCCUCCCGGAGCCUCCUUUGCGUAGUAACUAACGUCUCGCACUGGGAUUCGGAGGGACUCUUGCCGUAAAACCCCCAAAUUUUUUACAGGUGACCUCGGAUCAGGUAGAUGCCGG